rnacentral:rRNA from 1 species
AACGAACGCUGGCGGCAGGCUUAACACAUGCAAGUUGAACGUGAUUUGCUGGGUGCUUGCACCGAGCAAUGAAAGUAGCGCACUGGUGAGUAACACGUGGGUAACCUGCCUCUCAGAGUGGAAUAACGUUUGGAAACGAACGCUAAUACCGCAUAACGUGAGAAGAGGGCAUCCUCUUUUUACCAAAGAUUUAUCGCUGAGAGAUGGGCUCGCGGCCGAUUAGGUAGUUGGUGAGAUAACAGCCCACCAAGCCGACGAUCGGUAGCCGGACUGAGAGGUUGAUCGGCCACAUUGGGACUGAGACACGGCCCAG